AUAGCUCAAUGGUAGAGUGCGUGCCUAGCAUGCAUGAGGUCCUGAGUUCAAGGCCCAGU
rnacentral:tRNA from 1 species